UAGGGAAUCUUCGGCAAUGGGGGCAACCCUGACCGAGCAACGCCGCGUGAGUGAAGAAGGUUUUCGGAUCGUAAAGCUCUGUUGUAAGAGAAGAACCUGUGUGAGAGUGGAAAGUUCACACAGUGACGGUAACUUACCAGAAAGGGACGGCUAACUACGUGCCAGCAGCCGCGGUAAUACGUAGGUCCCGAGCGUUGUCCGGAUUUAUUGGGCGUAAAGCGAGCGCAGGCGGUUUAAUAAGUCUGAAGUUAAAGGCAGUGGCUUAACCAUUGUUCGCUUUGGAAACUGUUAAACUUGAGUGCAGAAGGGGAGAGUGGAAUUCCAUGUGUAGCGGUGAAAUGCGUAGAUAUAUGGAGGAACACCGGUGGCGAAAGCGGCUCUCUGGUCUGUAACUGACGCUGAGGCUCGAAAGCGUGGGGAGCAAACAGG
rnacentral:rRNA from 1 species